rnacentral:pre_miRNA from 1 species
GUCUACUUUUGGGUCAGAGAGUCGACUUUUGAAUGAGAUCCGAAAUUUUUAUGAAAAUGGGUUAAUAGCCACUUUUCAGUAAAACUGGCUAGCCCGUGCUAUUUUUACUGAAAAGUGGCUAUUAACCCAUUUUCAUAAAAAUUUCGGAUCUCAUUCAAAAGUCGACUCUCUGACCCAAAAGUAGAC